AUGAAAACCCUAAUGGACAACUCCCAUAGCUCCUGCUGGGAUUCCUUCUGGGGUGAACCUCACCAGAAAGCAAAGGACAAAAGGACAGGUCAGCUGCUUGGGCUGCACUGCAAAAUGGUGAAGGGAAGAAAAUGCUACUGGAGACAAACCAAAGAUCUCCCACACAAACCCUAAGAGGUAGGCACUUUUGUUGUUCUUUGUUAACAGACAUAGAAAAUCAAAGAAACUCAAAGAGAUUCAAAUAUGUUAGCUAAGUCACCUAAAGACUACAUGUGAAACGAGCUCUGACUCCAGAGUCCCAUCACUCAACUAUCAAACCAUAUCAUUUCUCAAGAUAUACUCUAAUCACCAAACUGGGUAAUACGACUAUAUUUCUAUCCCUUUUCUUUAAUGCUUAAGAGAAAGGAUGGAUGGAUGGUCUACUUCUAGAUUCUUAAUCACAGGAUCAUAGUCCGCAUUGGAAAACUGCCCCUAAAAUCAUCCUAUCCCUUAAACUAUAGACCAGUGAUUCUGAAGUCUGGCACCCAAACCAGUAGCAUUAGCUGCACAUACUGAUGCACAGACUUAUCCUCACCCCCAAACCUACUGAAUCAGAAACUCUAGGGACAAGGCCCAGCCUUCUUAUAUUAACAAGCCUCAAGCCAGGGGCUUGUUUCUAUUGAUUCGGAAAUUCUGGGUGUAAGGCCCAGGAUUCUUAUUUAACACAGCCUCCAUGUGAUUCUGAUGCAUGCACCAGUUUGAGAACCACUGCAAUCGAUAUUUUCCACAUAAAAGUCUAUAAACACCUUGAGAAUCACUUCUCCCAACCUAUGCAGCGUUAGAAGCUAGUUCCUGUAGGGGCCCUCAUCUUAACACACCCCAGUGUGUUGCAUUCACUGGCAGACCAAGAAGACAUUGUGAUACGCAUCCAGGCCAGUAGGAGGCACGUACUCCUGAAGGUUUGCUACUGCCCUAUUUUUCAGUUAACCUGAAGUAGCCCAAGUCAUGAGACAAUCAGUCACAGUUGAUGAGGACAGAAAAAGUUGGGAGCAAGUCCUAAGCAACAGUAAUCCUCCUCCUGGUGAGUUUUGCGUUUUGUGAUAGUCUGUAGCAAUUGCUCCCUACCCCUAUAAGGACGGACUGGACUAUACCACUAAGUGUCUAUACCACUUUGCAUGCAUAUCGUCCUGAGUGGAGUCAUCAUUUUUAGGUUCCAUCUGCCAUGUAGCUGUAAUCCCAUUGAUGGACUUCUGUGGGUUGAAUAAUCACUUCAGCACUGUAUUGUUUCUGCUCUUCUCUAUGAACAGUAAAGUGCUUCUUAAACCACCUCAAGAAGUGGUUAAAUGCAAGUCCCCAAGCCUCAUCUUCAAGACUAAUUUUGUAUGCCAGGGGUAGAACUCAGGGAUCUGCAUAUUUAAGAAGCUCCCUGGUUAUUCUAGUGCCUCUGUUCUAAAGACCAUACUGGAUAACAAUGGGUGGUUAAAGAUACAGGUUCUGGCCAGGUGCAGUGGCACCAUGUGCCUGUAACCCCAGCUGCUCAGGAGGCUGAGGAGGAAAGAUCACUUGAGCACAGAUCAGGACCAGCACAAACAACAUAGUGAGACCCUGUCUUUAAAAAAAAAGAAAGAAAAGAAAAAGAAAAGGAUGUAGACUCUGGAGUUGAAGAAACCUGAGUCGCAUUCCAACCUCACCUCUUACAACACUUGUCCCUUGAGUAAGUUACUCACCUCUCUGUACUUCUGACUUUUUCUUUGUAAUCUAACGAUAAUUUAAAGAACCUAGAUCAUAGAUUUGGUAAUAAAAUUUAAAGACAAUAAUCCAUUCAAAGCACUUAGAAGUGCGAAGCACAUAGUAAUCGCUCAUGAGGUACUAAAUGUUAGCCACUCUUACUUCUGUAAUGAUAGUAAUGACCAUCGCUGCCAUCUAGAUAAACUACAUGGAUGAAAAAGAAAGAAGACAAGUCUGGCUUCUUUCUUCUGAUUAUAACCUUUUGAUGUGUCUGAAUUUUCACUUAGGCUGGCUAUUUGUAAUAUGUUUCUCAGAAACUGAAAAUUGAAUUUAAAACGGUAGCUGCUCCCCACCCCAUCAUGUAAGCGGGGGAUAUAAUGAAAUGGCUUAUUAGGGGACUUCAGGGGAAAUUAGACAACCAGCCCAAGUUUCAGCUCACUGUCAGGUCGGGGUGCAGGUGGGAGUGAUGGAGGUGGAAAGGGAAUAGGCACAGUCAGUCCUGCAGGGUGUUCUUGGAGUUGUGGAGAGUGUUAGUGGCAGCAAACAAGCUUUAUCAAAGUGUGAAGGACAUAGUAAGUGCAAGAGAUUACCCUCAAAUUCCUUACAUUUGAAAGAAGCUCUUCAGAAAAUAAGAGGUUUCAACAUUUUGAAAGACACAUCACAUACCUCAACUACCUACCUCUUCCCAAAAACUACAGUGAAGCAUAUAAAAGGAAUUUUAUUUCGAAAGGUAUGGUGUCGAGAAGAGACAUAUGGAGGUAUGGGAUAAUUUUUUGAGAUCUUUAAUUAUCUUAACUCAUUUCCUUAUAUGUUAUUAAACCAAAAAGACCGUUAUUCUUUCUUCCAGCAGACCAAAGCGUACAUCUACCACCUCCUCUUCACCAAGAGCUCAGAGUUCUCUUCCCUCACCAUUCCUCAAGUAGUAUUUUCUAAAAUAUAGUUAAUGCCACCAGAGGACAAUCACAAUGUAAAUCUUGUACCUCAGAGAGAAAGCAGUGUCAUAUACAUCUGCUGCUAGCAUACAUAUAACUCUCUUUCAAAACUGCCUUUGCAAAAUUUUAACUGAGGAAAUUAUGACCGAAAAAAGUUAGACCUAACUGACUCCAUCUUGCUUCUAACCUUUGAGCUGUCCUUGUUCAGUCCUGGGCGUAGGCUGAACUAACUUUGGUAAGGAAUUCAGUUCAUGGUUUGACUCUGAAACAAAUUUGAUAAGAGCCAUGUCCUGAAAAGACCCCCUUCUUGCAUGGGACCGGUUUUCCUUUGCAGGACUAACAAAUUAGCAACAGUUUAGUGGUCCGCAGCCUCAGGCUCCAAGAGUCUGAAUCUCCUCAAAGUGCUGCUGGGGAAAACAUCACUACUGUAAAACCUAAGAUCUUGAGAUAUUUUGCAGACUCCACACUGGAUGGAUCAGCUGACCCCACCCAAAACUGGCUCAGCCAGUUCUGCCAUCCCACCCAGGAAUAGAAGAGAACAAUAAAACCUCACUUCAACCCCUAGGAUUCCAUGUCCAACCUGACU
rnacentral:lncRNA from 1 species